rnacentral:rRNA from 1 species
AUUGCCCUAGUAACGGCGAGUGAAGCGGCAACAGCUCAAAUUUGAAAUCUGGCGUCUUUGGCGUCCGAGUUGUAAUUUGCAGAGGGCGCUUUGGCAUUGGCAGCGGUCCAAGUUCCUUGGAACAGGACGUCACAGAGGGUGAGAAUCCCGUACGUGGUCGCUAGCCUUUACCGUGUAAAGCCCCUUCGACGAGUCGAGUUGUUUGGGAAUGCAGCUCUAAAUGGGAGGUAAAUUUCUUCUAAAGCUAAAUACUGGCCAGAGACCGAUAGCGCACAAGUAGAGUGAUCGAAAGAUGAAAAGCACUUUGGAAAGAGAGUUAAAAAGCACGUGAAAUUGUUGAAAGGGAAGCGCUUGCAGCCAGACUUGCCUGUAGUUGCUCAUCCGGGUUUCUACCCGGUGCACUCUUCUAUAGGCAGGCCAGCAUCAGUUUGGGCGGUUGGAUAAAGGUCUCUGUCAUGUACCUCCUUUCGGGGAGAACUUAUAGGGGAGACGACAUGCAACCAGCCUGGACUGAGGUCCGCGCAUCUGCUAGGAUGCUGGCGUAAUGGCUGUAAGCGGCCCGUCUUGAAACACGGACCAAGGAGUCUAACAUCUAUGCGAGUGUUUGGGUGUCAAGCCCGAGCGCGUAAUGAAAGUGAACGGAGGUGGGAACCUUUCGGGUGCACCAUCGACCGAUCCUGAUGUCUUCGGAUGGAUUUGAGUAAGAGCAUAGCUGUUGGGACCCGAAAGAUGGUGAACUAUGCUUGAAUAGGGUGAAGCCAGAGGAAACUCUGGUGGAGGCUCGCAGCGGUUCUGACGUGCAAAUCGAUCGUCAAAUUUGGGCAUAGGGGCGAAAGA